rnacentral:rRNA from 1 species
AGAGGAGAGACAUGCGCGCAUAUCAAUAAGCGGAGGAAAAGAAACUAACUAGGAUUCCCUCAGUAACGGCGAGUGAAGCGGGAAGAGCUCAAAUUUGAAAUCUUCAAGGUUCUACCUUGACGAAUUGUAGUUUAAAGAAGUGUUUUCUGUUGGAGUUUUGGUAAAAGUUCUUUGGAAUAGGACAUCAUAGAGGGUGAGAAUCCCGUAUUUGACCAUUAUUUCCAGCUUUGUGAUACACUUUCAAAGAGUCGGAUUGUUUGGGAAUGCAGUCCAAAAUGGGUGGUAAAUUUCAUCUAAAGCUAAAUACUGGCGAGAGACCGAUAGCGAACAAGUACCGUGAGGGAAAGAUGAAAAGAACUUUGAAAAGAGAGUUAAACAGUACGUGAAAUUGUCAAAAGGGAAGCGUUUGACACCAGUGUUGUUUUCUCGAAAAUCAAUUAAAAAAGGCAGGAUUUUGUGUUGUAUUGACUUCAUCAGCUUUCUGCACUCUUUUCUUGUCUUUUUUUAAUGCACUUUCCGUUUAACAAGUCAACAUCAAUUUCUUUUGUUGUAAAAGGGUCAUUGGAAGGUGGCUUUCUUUUCGGAGAAAGUGUUUAUAGCCUUUGGCCUCUGCAAUCGGAGAGAUUGAGGUCUGCAGCGUAGAUCCUUCGGGGUUAGAUACAUUUGUGCUAAGUUAUAGCCUUUCAUAGACAACUUGUUGACUAUGAUCAGUCAUGUAGCUUACUCGCUUAUGCUAUUUUACCUACGCUUAGGAUGUUGAUGUGAUACUGCGAGCA